rnacentral:rRNA from 1 species
GACGAACGCUGGCGGCGUGCCUAAUACAUGCCAGUAGAACGCUGAAGAGAGGAGCUUACUCUUCUUGGAUGAGUUGCGAACGGGUGAGUAACGCGUAGGUAACCUGCCUUGUAGCGGGGGAUAACUAUUGGAAACGAUAGCUAAUACCGCAUAACAAUGGAUGACACAUGUCAUUUAUUUGAAAGGGGCAAUUGCUCCACUACAAGAUGGACCUGCGUUGUAUUAGCUAGUAGGUGAGGUAAUGGCUCACCUAGGCGACGAUACGUAGCCGACCUGAGAGGGUGAUCGGCCACACUGGGACUGAGACACGGCCCAGACUCCUACGGGAGGCAGCAGUAGGGAAUCUUCGGCAAUGGGGGCAACCCUGACCGAGCAACGCCGCGUGAGUGAAGAAGGUUUUCGGAUCGUAAAGCUCUGUUGUAAGUCAAGAACGGGUGUGAGAGUGGAAAGUUCACACUGUGACGGUAGCUUACCAGAAAGGGACGGCUAACUACGUG